GACUGAAUAUGUUCUUGAUAGGACAUAGACACCUGCACACACUAGUUCAUUCGUCCAUUGGACCGAUCACAUGGUCGGACCAUGCCCCAAUAUUCCUUACGCUGUCCCUUGAAGAGAAGAGUGCCAUUAGCAACUCAUAGCGCUUAAAUUAAUCACUACUUGAUGACCCCAGGGUAAUGGAGGAUUUGAAUAGCGCUCUACCCAGG